CUUCAAAAAUAAUAUCACUAGCAAGCACAAAGGGAGACGGUCUUUAUUCCAAGUAAGUAAUCAAUCUUUUUGUUUUUGUUUUUUUCCAUGAACAUGAUUUUUGAGCUGAUCAUUCAGAUUGGAAGCCAGUCGACUAAAAUUAAACCUAAGAAGAAACAGAGGGAAAAUAGAAGUAGGCCCGUUCACUAUGGCUUCGUCUGGUUUACCAACUUAUGAUUUUGGAUACAAACCUAAGCUGAAUACAUGUCACUCCUCGCCAGUUUCUAGGCGCUGGUAGCGGUUGGGGAAAGCUGAGCGUUUGGCACCCCCUCCUGCUUCCGGGCAUCCUUGUUCCUCGUCAUUCGGUUGAGUAGGUUUACGGCGAUCACCGCAUCUACCGCCGCCUUGAAGAUCCUGCCUUUGACCUGACCUCUCCUUGGGGGGACUCUAACUAAUUUCACUUGCUUGGAGUCUUUCUGUUCCAUUGCCUUCUAUCUUCUGUUUUUUUCUGAAAGUGUCGAUGAAGAAGCAGAAGGAAAGAAGAAAACAGAGGAGGAGGUGCGAUGUGGAGAGCCCAAGAGCAUGGGAUCUAUAUAUAAGAAAUUCUCGGGUUAGUGAGCCCAUGAAGUGUCUCCCUCAUGAUUGUAAAUAAACCAUUGACUACUCAUUCUUGAUCUGAAUAUAUGCCAAACCCGAGCGCCCCAUCAGAUUUUGUCCCUUUUUUUUUAUAUGAUGGAUAUUUAGCUUUAUUCUAACUUUAUAAAUUUCUUUACAACAAAAAUUAUAAGUAAUAUUCACAACAAAAUUAGUUAUACUCCCCGUAACCAUUAUCGGGUACUCCAAGCAAGGAUCGAACCUAGGACCAUACAUAGAGAAAUUCAUCCCAACAAAUUAGACACACUAUCAAGCUAAAAAAGAUUUAAUUUCAUUCUUUGAUUUCAAAUUUCAUCGAUUGUUUACCCAAAAUCUUUAUAAAACAUUAUAAUAGAAAUUAUGCACAUGUCUUUUUGAAGGAUUUAAUAUCCAAGUUGAUGCUUCCUUAUCUACAAAUGGCUGCAUAACUCCUAGUCUUAAAAGUACUCAAAAGAGGUUUUGUUAAAUCAACCUAUUUUUUCCCUAUAGUUCCUAAUGUGAUUAGGACCCAUAAGGCAAUAUGUGAAGGAUGUGUUACUUUAUACCUCUACUUUCUUCCUAAUCUUUCUGAUUGGGGCCCAUAAUGGUGAGAUGGUAUUGAUUUGAUUGUAAUUAAGAAGAUGGAAUAAUAUCAUGGCUACUCCUUUGCACAAAUUCCUACAGUAUUAGUUUCUACUUGAAAUGGUGUGAGUUCCAACUUUAAUGCUAAUCAGAGUUUUGGGAUCCAGCUAUAAAUGAAUCCCAGCUUAGUUAAUUAGUUGUUAGGUAUAAAAUAUUAAAAAAUUAUCGGGUAUUCAAUCGACGCCUAUCAAACUUGUAAUUUCAAGUAUUAAAAAAGUAUAAUUAAACUAAAGUCGGUUGAUGACGAUAUGAAAUUAAAAUAUUAAAAAGUAGGAUGCAAGUUUGAAUAUAAAAAUAACGUGACCAAAUUAAUUAGUCCUGCUUUUUUGAUUGGUAAAUUUGUGAAAUGGGAUGAGGUCCAAAGGCUCUACGUGGCUAAAUCCAAGUCAUUCAACUCUCAACAAAUUUUUGAGAAUCCUAGCUUGAGCUUCAUGCCAUGGCCCUAGUAGAAUUGACGCUUCAAACAGGCCCCUAUCCUACCCUUAAUUAGUGGAUGACGGCCUUUGACCAAAGGUUUAGUCCAAUAUCCCAAUCAAUCCAAGUCUUAGCCCAUUGAGCACACCAGCACAAAAGGCACGUUUUGAUUAUACAGCAAGGCCAGAAAGUAGUAGUGGGCGAUGGUCUGAAUGGUUGUUUGACUGAAAAUCAAACAAGAAGUAUAUUUUAGGGGCAAACUUAUAUUGUCGCUUGAGUGGCUUUACUUUAAUUGCGUCACAUAGCAUGUGAACUUAUGUAAGAGAGUGAUAAGCCUUACAUUUUUAAAUAUACAUUAUACCCACUUGUUUUCUUUUUCAAAUGUUUUAUUUAAAAAAAAAAAUUAUCUGUUUGGUUCCCAAUAAGAAAAAAAAAAUUACUAAGUAAGGGAUGGAAAAAAAUGAUUUUCUUUUUUAUGCUUAGUUUUUUAUUAAAAUAAUAAAAAUAAAUAAAUAUAAUUAAAAUUAUUUAAAAUUUAUAUAUUUUUAAAUUAUUUAAUCUUUAUAAAUUAAAAAAUAAAAUAAAAUAAAUUUAAAGAAAUAUAUAAAAUUAAUUUAUUGAUUUUAAACUUUAUUUUUAUUUUUUUUUCUUAUUUUCUUUUCCUCGUAUUUUUCUACAAGUUUUUUUUAAACCAAAUAUAACCAAAAUGAUUCAUACUAUAUAUUAAAUCUGAAUCCUAUAAAUUUAAAUAUUUAAAAAAGUUUUAAAGCUUAAUUUAAUGGAACCCUCUCAAAUUUAUAUGUUUAUUUUUUUUUCAAUUUUUUGGCAUCUCAACCCCGAGCAGAGGAUUAUUUAAAAAAAAAUCUUAUUUAUAUUAUAAUUAUAUAAGAAUGACGUGUCAAAAUAAUAAUAAUAAACAUGUUCUAAAACAAUAAUUUUGGAAUAAUAAGAAAAAGGUAACAAUAUCUUCCGGAUUGAAAGCCUAAAAAAUCUUAUCCAUUGAUGGCGAUGAAUUCCUUUCAUUUUGAAAUUAUUAUUUAAAUAAUAAUAAUAAUAAAUAAAUAAAAACCCUAAAAAAUAAGCACGUUCCUAAGGUUGAAUUCAACGGAUGACGCAACGUCAAAUAAUUAAUAUACGCAAGGAUUGAGGAUAUUUUCCUUUGGUCUUUGCUUAAAAUCAUGUGCCAAGGGGGAUGAACCGCUCAUGCACAUGUGCUACCAGUAUGCGUCUCUUUUCACUUGGAGUCUGUAAAGUAUCACGAGGCAAAAAAAUAAUAAGGAAAAUAUUUUUUUAUUUGAUUUAUUAUAAAAAAAUAAUAAUAAUAAUAAACUAAAAUAUAAUUAAAAUUUCAUGUCUUUUUUAAUUUUCUAAUAUUUAUAUAGAAAAUAAAUAAAUGAAAUGAUUUUGAAAAGUAUGUAAAAAUAAUUUAUUAAGUCUAAAUUUAUUUUUUAUUUUAUUUGAUUUGUCCUUUUUCUCUUUUUAAUUUUGUGAAAAUAAUGAAUGGAUGUUAAAUGGAAUAAAAAUUGUGAUGAAAAAAAAAACUAAAAUUUGAAUAGAGUUAAAAUUGUUAAAAAAAAAAAAAAACAUGUAUAUUUUAGUUUUUUUGGAAAAAAAAAAUUGUCUCAAAUUUAAUGAAUUUAAAGAUAAAGUUUUCGCCCCAAAUAUAACUCUUUGAGCAAACUCAUCUACUAUUGGCUUUUCUACACAUGGUUGUGCCUUAUUGCUAAUCAAAAUUUUGGGAUAGGAAGUGAGUUCUAUUUUAAUUUAUUUUUUUUAUUACCCAAAAUAUUGGAUAAUUAAGCAAUCCCUUGAAUAAUUGUGGAUGAAUAAUUUCCAGUUCUAAAAACAUUGUUUUUAAUUAAAAACUGAUUUUAAAAAUAUUAUUACCAAACAAGCCAAAGUGAAAGAAGAGGACGGUACUCAUGCAAAUCAAGAAAGAGAGGUAGGAUUUCACAAUGAAAGAGUCUGAAAUCAACAUUCAAACCCUUCUUAUUCACAAGCGCCUUACUAGUUACUUCAACAUUCCACUGCGUCACUCAAAACAACAUAGAAUUUAUUCAAUCACUGCAAGCCAAACUAGCUGAACCAAAGUCGAUGAUCACUCUCCUCCUCAGGCUUUGAUUUUUCUCGCUGGAAGCGCGCGGCCGCUUUAGCCGGUGGGAUUGCAGAUUUUUGAGCUUUCGCCACCUUCUCCUUCCUCUGUCUUCCCUGUUCGCACUCCCAUUACGGAGAAUACCUUCUCUGCCACAUCUCCCAUCACCCAAGCUUUUACCCGUCCCCUCCUGGGUGGAAGAUCGGCCCUUUCUUUCUUCACUGGCUUGGUGGAUUUGCUGUCCAUGGCGGCUUUCAAUCGAAAGGGCAGAAGGGAAGAAGUUUUCAGUGCCUACAGGGACUGAAGCACGGGAAAAGAAGAAAAGCAGAUGGAGGUGGGUGUGGUGGUCAGACCAAGGAACUUGGUGGGGAUCUAUAUAAGGUCUUAGAAGCCGACGGGUGAGGUGUCACCGCACCCAGUGUGAAUCCAUCGAGUUGAAUUUGACUAAUGGCUUUUUUCCUUAGGUGAGCGCCUCCAAGUCUCUACAAGCAAACAACGGCAUCGGCAAGCGGAUUUGGAUUCAUGUCCCACUUACUAAUACCACAUUUUCAUGUAUUCACUACUCACUUUAACCGAUCAAUUAUUCUUCAUAUUUAUACACUUAUCUUUUAAAAUAUCUUUUUUAAAAAGUGAAAAUAAUAAAUAAAUAAAAAUUAAAACAUAAUAUUUGGGAACACUAUUUAAAACAAAUUCAUAAAAAAUCCCCUUCCAUAAUAUAAAAGAUGCUUUAAAAAUAUGGACACAGUUUUUUGUUUUUAAAAAAUAAAAAAAUUGUCUUAAAAAUAAUUAAUUCUCCAACAAGGGCUUAACUUUUUUUGUGAACCAAACUAAAGGGUAGGAGCAUUUUCAAGUGACGGCACAUUCAUCCAUUAGUACCGAACUCCAUAUGUUUUUUAAUUAAUAGGUUAAAAAUAAUGAAAUAAUCCUCAUAUUUAUGAAAUUAAACCCUCCUAUGUAUUUAUUUAAAGAAUAACUCAUUUUUGACAUAAAUGUCCUUAACUAUUUCAAGUAUUUAUACGUACAUUUUAAAAGAAAUUAUUAAUUUUACAAUAAAAAAUAAGGAUAUUUUGAUGAAAAUGAAACCAAAAAAUGAUGGAGAAUUAAAUUUCUAAAAUCAGGUUUUCAAUGACCCUUUUAAUCAAUUAACAUUAUAUUUUUUCAUUUAGUGGGCUAUUUCCUAGAAAACUCUACCUAUCUAUGAACUAGGGUUUAGGCCCGGACAAAUAGAAUAAUACAAAAGAUACAUGCCAAUUUUAUAUACAUAUAGAAAGAUUCAUUGUCUGCUAAUGGCCACAUUACUAACUAAAUAACUAAAAGAACUGUUUACCCCCAAUUCCCAAGUAUUUAAAAAGAGGCAAGAAGAAGCCAACUUCCACCCAAACUUGUCUUCAUUUUUUUUUAGUUUAUAACAACUACCUACCGUCUCAGGAUAGAAUUUUCAACCAUAUUCUAGAGGGUUUUUCUCUUUCUUUCUCACUUUUGGCUUUUUUUUCCUUGUCAUAUUUUUAUUCAACAAAAAGUAUUCAUAUUAAGGAUAAGGAAUAACAAACUGAAAUUCAAUUCUACAUGGGAAAAAGGAGAAGAAAAGAAAAGAGAAGAAACAGGGGAAUCUGCAACUACAGAGCCAAUCCCUGUGUGGAUCAUCUCCUCCAACCAGAUAACCCACAUUCUAAAUCUUUGAAAGACAAGGAAAAUGAAACUUACAGGGCUAAGACUUUACAGACCUAUGCUAAAUAAACUAUACUGUAAUUUCCCAAACCAGAGAGAUCCAUUUUUCUAUGAUAAAAAUGUUAUUUUCUUCAACACCCAUCUUUUCAUCAGUGAAAAGAAUCUGAGAAUCUAUCAGACUGCAACUAAAAGGGGCAGAAUUUUGAGGUUCUGCUUUUAGUUAUUGGUAUUCAGGCAUCAUCAUCCUGGUCACAAAUCUGAGACUUCCCAUUGGAAGCGCCUGCACAAGGAGGGUUUGUCCACCGACUCCACCCUGAGCUUCCUGUGCCACCUUCUUUCUUUUUUCCCAGCCCUGCUACUGAUGCUGCCCCCGUUACUUUCUUCGCCAAGAUCCCAAAAAUCUUGCCUUUUAUGCUUCCUCUUUUCGGUGGAAUCCUUGCUUUCAUUUUCUUCUGGGGACUCGUAUCUCCAGUGUCCAUUGCUUUGAAUUAUGGAGAACACUGAAAUCGAAGUGGAAGGAUUUGUGACAAAGCAGCAGAGAGAGAAACAGGGGAGCGAAAGUGCCUGUUUUCUAUAAAGGAGAAGAGAAAAAGAAGGAAAACCAGAGAAAGUGAGGAAAAGACUGGUGAGACGGGGGUAUAUAAUAUGACGUCGUGGGGGCACAAGCCAGUUCAGUCAGAAGGGUUCCCACAGUGUGAACAAGACUCAAGUGGGGCUUGAAUUCAAAACCAACAAAUGAAAAUUCUUCUUCUCAUUUGGAACUCUCUCUCUCUCUCUCUCUCAAAGGUACACCUCACCCAUAGCUGUUUUCCUCCAGAUGAUAGUGUGGUAUCACAUAGGAUGACUUGGAAGGUUUAUGGAUAUGUUGGGUUGUCAUCUUCUCAAGUCUCAAUAGUGACAACAAUGGCUCAGAAGAAAACUCACUUUGAAACCCGUUCACACUUCUGUAAAAUAUAUGAGAGGGACAGAAUCUAAAUCAUAAAAGAUAAUGAGAGAGAUAGGCAAGCUAUAUGCAAAUAAAUUAAAAUACUCAAAUAACCUUUUUGGACUUAUAUGUAAAUGGGGAAAUAAAUUUGUAAAUUAUGAAAAGACCCGUUAAAUCAAGUUCUGAUACUAUGUUAAAACCCAUUAAUUAUUCUAAAAAUUUGAACUUAUAAGAUUUAAGGUCGAUAUACAUAUAAUACUCUUUAACAAACUCCCACCAUUCAUUGAAUUUGGCAUGCCUCCCUGGUAUGAGAAGCACAGGACUCUUCCAUAGAACCUUCGGGGAGAAAAUUGAAUGAAGGAGAAGAAUUUUCAGAGCAUAUAUCUGGAAAAUUAGGCACCAUUUGAUGUGAAGUGAUGAAGAAAAGGAUAAAGCCUAGUCAAAGUCAGCUACUCUCUUGGAAUUUCUUUAUUAAUGCUUCUGCUAUAUAGACUUUAUUUCAAGUGUGAAAGCAGAAAUCUUAGCCGACCGCAUAGUCAGCUAAGAUAGUGUCAAGAAAAGGAUGUCAGUAGGACCCUUUUUUCCACGGCCAAUUUACCACCCACUUGAUGGUGUUUGAAAAAAAUAGGAAGUGAUAGUUUAACGUAAAGACUUGAAUAUUUUUACCUCUUUAUGCUCUUUGAUUUGUACAUCCUUGUGAUCAUGGAAAAUUCUUCCUUUGAUUUGUACAUCUCUAGUGACCAUGGAAAACCAAGGAUGACAAAAUUGACUCUAUAUCAAUUUGAUAUAUCACAAAAUGGGGAAGUCGGUAUUGAAAUUUAGAGUAUUUUAUGAGUUAUCAAAAAAAUAGUUAAACAUCAUUAAUGAAUUACUUUUUCAAAAGAAUGUGGUAAUUUGUAGAGUCUUGAUUCAUAGAAUAUCAUAAUUUUAAAACUCAUUAUAUAUUUAUAUUCCCCUAAUUUACUAUAUUUAUGUGUAAAACCGAAGAAAAAAUUCUCCAAAAAAGUAAAUAAAUAAAAAGAUAUUGUAUCCUUGUGCAUGUCAUUGCAUUGUUCCUUUGAUUUGGAUGUCUUUCAUGUCCGUGGAAAACGAUAAAAUUGACUAUCUAUCAAUUUGAUAUAUUACAAAAUGGGGAGUGUCUCUCACCCCCAUAGGACGAGAAAAAUGACUAUAUAACAAUUUGAAAUAUCACAAAAUGGGGAACAUUGAUAUUGAAAUUUAGGGUAUUUUAUGGGUCAUAGAAAAUCAUAUAAAUAUCAUCGUUGGAUUACUUCUUCAAAAUAAUGUAGUAAUUUUAUAUCAUAUGACUUUUUCUAAAAUUGAAAAUAUUUAUAUAUGUUUUAUAAAAUUCAAAAUAUUUAUACAUUUUACAAUUUAAAAGUUCAACUAUCAAUUAUUUUUCGAACUGCUUUUGAGAGGAAAAAAAAAUUAAAUACAAAUCAAAUUUAUAAACAUAAAAUUAUAGAACAUGUUAUCUAAUGACUAUUGUUAAAAGGGAGUAUUUAUUAAUUAAAAUUCAAAUUUUAUAAAGUUCAUACUAUGUUACUAGUGGUUAUAGAAUAUAAAAGUUUAAGAGACAAUUAUGCUUUAAGGGCAAAUAAAACCAAUAAUGGGCCUAAGAUUCAAAAAAUGUGUAAAAUUCAGUUCAAAGGUUAACAAGCAUUUAUGAUUGAGUUAAAAUAUAUGAUUUUUUUUUUUCAUAAUGUCAAAAAAAAAAAAAAACCAUGGAUAUGAAAAUUAUAUAAAAUGAAUUUAUAUUAUGUGACUAUAUUGUAUCAUUUAUCAUGUACCCUACUUCUUUUUUUUUUCUUUAGAUUUUAAAUUUUCUAGUGAUUUAUUUUUUUAAUAAUAAAAAUAAAUAAAUAAAUUAAUCUCAAGUACAAAAUAAAAUCUCUUGAUUUGAAAUGUUUAUCUCAAUGUAUAACUUUAACAAAUUUUUCAAAAUACAAUUUAAAAUGAAAAUAUUAAUUAUUUUUUAAAUGUUUUCAAUAUGAUUUUUUUUAUUUCAUUUAAUAACAAUAUAUAUAUAUAUAUAUAUAUAUAUAUAUAUAUAUAUAUAUAUAUAUAUAUAUAUAUAUAUAUAGGAUCAAAAUUCUAAAAUAUAUACAAAAAAAUCUAAAUAAAAUAAUAAUUGCUUUCUUUCAAACAUAUGAAAAUUACAUUUAAAAAAUGGUAUUAUCAAUAUUAAAUUUUAAUGAAAAUUUUAUUAAUUACUUUCAACCACGUUACUAAAAUUUUAUAUUAUUAAUAAUAAAAUAAAAUAGGAAAAUAAAAAUAAAUUUAAAUUAUAGAAAAUAUUUGUUUUUACUUAAAAAUUAACUUAAAUUAAAAAAAUAUAACCAAAAGUCUAUUAACAUGUCCAUUGUGCUUUCCUUUUUCAAAUUUUUUUAAUAAAAAAUAUUUUUUAAAAAAUAAAAAAGGUGAAAUAAAUGUGAUACUUUGAGAUAAAAAAAAAGUAAAAAAGAAAAAGAAAAAUAUAUAUAAAAGUUAAAAUUAAAUAAUCAAAAGGAUGAGAUCCAUAAACAUAUUUAUUUUCCUGAUUUCUUUAGGGAUGUUUAUGUUUUUCAUAUUUCAUAUCCUUAUUAUCAACUACGUUAGAUAUGUGAACCUUAAAUCUAUAAUCUGUUUUAAUUAAUCCUAAAUCAUGAUUGUCCCAAACUUUAAUAUAAAACUUUUCCCAAUAAAAAAUUAAUUUUUUUUGUAUAUUAAUGAAUAUUUUUUAUAAGUAAAAUGCUAUCCAUGUAUAUCGAAAAGAAAAUAACAAUAACUCUAAAAUAAAAAUUUAUUGAACAAAUUAAAAACCAGCUUGAUUAGUGAAUAUUUCAUUCAAAAUUUCAAUUAUCGAUUUAUUUAUUUAUUUAUUUAUAUUCUGUAAAAUUCAACUACCGAUAUCUUAAUUACAAUUAAAGUUUUCAUCGUUUUAGACAACUAUAUACCCAUAAAAGGAAAAAGCAUAAGGAGACUGCCACAAAAUUUGCUUGCCACGUGAACCAAACGAUGUAUUUCAAACCUAAAAUAUGUACAUGAGAUUAUGUUUAUUCUUUAAAAUCAAAUGACUAAUCAUUUAGGACAAAAGCAUCAGCAGCAGUUAUGCCUCAAAAAUUUCACAUGUGUUGGGGGAACUUAAAGAUGGAAACUAUGGGUCAUAUGUUAGACAAUGAUUUAAGAAAGUGUUUCUAACUUUUUUCAACACUUAAGAAUUUGUAUCAUUCAAGUAUUAGGAAUGUUAUAAACGUUUUUUAAAAUUACUAUCAAAUAUACUCUUAAUUUAAAAAAUGAUUAAAAAAAAACAUUAGGUAUUUGAUUUUUAGGAAAUACUUUUAAAAUUUUAAAAAAUCAUUUAUAAUAUUAAAAAAUCACUUUUCCUUUUUUUAAAAAAAAAAAAAAAUACUUUAUAGGUAAUUUUUCUAAAAGCACUUCCAGAUAAAACAUUUGUACUCAAAACAUUUCGAGUAGAAACAAUGUAAAACGCACUCUUAAUUAUUGGAUUGCUUUGCGAGCAAAAAUAGAAAUGAAAAAUUAUUGGGAAUUUGAUGGUUAAAAGUUUAAAAUUUAUAAAAAUAAAAAUAAAGUAAAAUAUUGUAUUGAUUUGGUAAGCCAACAAAUAUUAUGAAGUAAAAAAAUUCAUAAUGAAUGGAAACCACAAGGUACCAAGAAACGACGGCAUAAAAUUCCCUUUAGAUUGAACACUUGGCGAACGGCCAAGGAGCCCUAAAUGAGAGGACAAGAGCUCUCAUAUUUGUCAUGUUUAUCAUGAUAAGAGGCAUUUUUUGGAAUGAAGAGGUGUCACUUUCCAAAGUCCAGACCAGGGCUGCAGGCACCAUGGCCACAGGAUGAUGAGUCCAAAAUGCAUCACUAAUCAUUCAAACCCUAACUUUUGUGCCACAACAAGAUGUGGACGCCAUGAGAUGCCUACUAAUAUCAGACUCUUUUCAUACUUUCUACCCCAAUCAUUCACUUCAGUCUAUAUCAACUAUAAUCCCUCCCUUGUGAACUCCACAACGAACUAUCCAAUUUCAGCACUGCUCUCUCUCCCUCCCUCCCUCUCCCUCUCUCUCUCUCUGCGAAGCGAAAAUGGUAACAACUUUCUCUAUACAAUAAAAAUUUAUUAGAAUGGAAACAAAUUUUUGUUAAUAAUAAUAAUAAUCUCUCUCUACGAAUCACCGUUCCCGUCCCAUAAUUACUUGAUACCUAAAGUCUUUGGGUUAAAAUAAAGACUUCAACAUUUUUAUCUAUUUUUACUUUUUUUUUUUUCAAGGAAGAGAUAUCGUAUCCUUGUGUGUGCACUUGCAUUGUUCCUUUGAUUUGGACGUCUCUUGUGUCCAUGAAAAACCAAUGGUGGCAAAAUUGACCAUAUAGCAAUUUGAUGUAUCACAAAAUGAGGAGCGUGGAUAUUGAAAUUUAAGGUGUUUUAGGAGUCAUAUAAAAUUAUUUUCGAAAACAAUUUUUAAAAAUAGUUUUUGAAAAAUAUUUUUUUGAUAUUUUGUAUAACAAAAGUUUAUUUAGAAACUUAAAAUAUUUUUAAUCUAUUUUUAAUAUUUUAAAAAUUAGUUUUUAUAUCUAAUGUUUUAUUUUGAAAAAUCAUUCUACACCUCUAUCUAUUUCUUAAUAGUUCAACAAAGUCAUUUAUUUAUUUUAUUAAGGCCUUGUUUGGUAACUAUUUUUUAAAAUUAUUUUGAAAAAUAGUUUUUGAAAACUGUUUUUUGAUGUUUUGUAAAACAAAAAUCUGUUUUGAAACCCAAAAUGUUUUUAAUAUUUUUAAAUAUAUUUUUAAAAUAUUUUUUUUAUCCAUAACUUUAUUUUUAAUCAUGAUAUAUAUAUUUAUAUAAUUAUUUUUUUAAAACAUCUUAAUACAACUAAAAAAUGUUAUUUGAAAACACCACAUUUUUUGUUUUUUGAUAACAAAAAAUAGAAAAAUGCUCUUGGAAGCAAUUCCCAAAUAGGGCCUAAGCUUCUAUUAAAAUAUUGUAUUGAUUUGGUAAGCCAUCAGUAUGUAAUUAAUAUUCUUGAAUAUUUCAAAAUGUUAACUUUUGUAUUUUUAUGAUCAACCAAAUUUGGAUAGUUCAAUUAGUCUCAUAAGGAAAAUAUUGUAAUCAUAAUUAAAUCUUAGUUCAGUCAUUUCAUUUAUAUAUGUUAACAUUUAUACAAGUAAAAAUUUUCAUAAUAAAACUUUAUAAGAAUGGAAACAAAUUUUUGUCCUACUUCUAUUUUUAUUCCCAAGAACCACCAAAAAUAUAAAUAAUAAUAAUUCUGAUAUGUAAAAACCCUAAACUUGAUAAUGUCAAGAUUUUGAAUUUUUUAAAAGUUUUGAGUUGAAUUGUGAUUUUUGUAUAUAAAACAAGUUUUAUUUUUUCUUUGUUCCUUGUUAGCACAAACAAUGAAUUUUACGUUUUGGCUUUAUUUGAUUAUCGAAAAGUAUCAAAGAUAGAAAAAAUGUUAAGAAAAAUAGUUUUGGUUUUCCCAUAUUUGAUUUCAUCAUAUAUAUAUAUAUAUAUAUAUAUAUAUAUAAAAUCAAAUAUUAUUAAUAUUCCUCAAAAUUUUAUAUAUUUUAAAAUUAUUUAAAUCGAGAAAAAUAAAUAAAAUUAGUUUUAAAAAACAGUAAAAAAUAAUUUAUUAAAUUUAAACCUUUUUUUUUCUUCCUUCUACUUUUCCUCUAUAUUUCCUUUCUCUUGCAAUUUUUCCUCAAUCUUUUCAUGGCUAACACUUAAAUGAAUUGGAAAUAAAAAAAAAUAUGAAUUUCAAAUUCUCAUUUCUUAUUCCAAUUUUUGGUUCCUCCUCGAUAUCUAUCCAUUUAGCUUGAUUAACUAAAACACAAUAAGAGUGUGUUUGAUAGUAAUUUUAGAAAGCGUUUUUAAUAUCUUUAAAUAUAAAAAAUUUUAAGUAUUAGAAAGAUUAGAAAUACUUCCUAAAAUCGUUAUUAAACAUACUAUAAGAACGUAUUUGAUAGUAAUUUUAAAAAGUAUUUUUAUCAUCUUUAAUAUUGUGAAAGAUAAAAAAUUUUAAAUGUUUAAAAAACUAUAAAUACUUCAUAAAUUCAUUGUCAAACUUACUCUAACUUAUACAAACAUAUUUGGCGAAAACUUCAAAUUAACAUGUGUAAUAAAACAUUUUUUUUUCUUUCCACAUCAUACUUUCCAUACAUUGCAUACUCAUUUUCUCAACACAUAGAAGUCAACUAAUCCUCUUGUUUGUGGGGUUUAGCAUCAUCGUCAUCAAGCUUAGAAGCCGGUACAAAAAAAUUUGGUUUUGAUCUUAUUCUGUACAGAGGCGGACCCAUCUUGUAAUUAGCUUUUGACAUUGUAGAAUAUCUUGGUUCCCCUAAUAGCGAAUGAGUACCGUCUUCGUCGAUAUCUGCAGAAACCUUUGACGCUAUGAGGAUCAUCAUCAACAUGACAAUGAAACUCAUUGAGAUCUUUUGGUUUGAAGUCGCCAUGUUGAGUGGGGCUCAAGAAAUGUUGGCUGAAAAGGAUUUAUUAGUGAAAAGAUGGCUCAUUCUGAAAGCAAGGAAUGAUGAGUGAGAUUUUAUAAGGGGGGAGGAGGGGGUGUUUGGAUGGAGUUAAAAUUGGUGGAAAGUUGUUUUGAUGGUUAUUUUGGGGUUUGAUUUUGUUGUUGAAUGGCAAUUAUGUCUUGGAGAUUUGGUCAAUUUUAAUUCCAAGAAUUACGGAUAGCCAUUAAUUCUAAUUACUCCAAAUAGUCACAACUUACGGAAGAGGAAAUUUUUUUUUUUCGAAACGUGUAAAUAAAUUUAAAUUUAAAAUUUUUAACAUACAAUUUCUUUUUUCAAAAGUAAAAAAAAAAAAAAAAAAAAAGUAGGUUGCAACUUCGACAGGUUGAUUGAAUUAAUGACUAAUUUAAAUUGAAUAUGAAUUAAUAAAUAAUUAAUUCAAUCUCAACCGUAUUGAAACUCUAACCCAAGAUACUCAAUUCAAACAUAAUUGAACUUAAUUUUUUUUUUUUUAACUUAGAUUGAAUUUGAGUUAAUUGAGUUAAACUCGGGUUGGUUGGAUUAAAUUUGGGUUAAUAGGAUUAUAUAAUUCAAAACUUAUCUAUAAUGAUUUUUAAAAAACUUUAUAUAUAUAUAUAAAGUGGUGAAUAAGAUAAAAUUUUAAAAUAAUAAUAAAAAAAUGAAUAAGUUUUUGUAUUUGUUCCAAAAAAUGAAAAAAUAUAUGAUAUAAUUAUAAUGUGAUUUUUAAAAUUUUUUAAAAAUAAAUAUUAUUAUACAUAAUAAUAAAUAUUAUAAAAAAUAUUAAAUCGGAUUUAAGUUAGAUUGUUAUUUAAACCUUAGUUUAAAUCCAACCCAAAUUGAGUUCGAGUUAAGAAGACUUAACCCAAACUAAACCAAAAAAUUGAAAAUGUUUAGCCAAACCCAUUAAAACAUCGGGUUGGAUUCUAGUUGGAUUGGAUCAACUUAUUCAAGUUGCACACUUUUUUUUUAAAAAAAAAAGAAAAAAUAGUUUUAAAAUUUUUACAAAAGAAAAAGAAAAUUUUGAAUUAACAAAAAUGUAAAAUUAUAUUUGAUUUUUGAAAAUUUUGAAAGAAAAUACUAAGAAAAGAAAAUAAGGAGGAAAACUAGAAGAAAAAAAAAAUAUUUUUAUAUGUUUCUUUAAAUUUAUUUUACUUAUUUUCUUUUAUUACGUAAAAAUUAAAUAAUUUUAAAAUACAUAAAAUUAAUUUUAAUUAUAUUUUGUUUUCUUCUAUACUUUUCUAACCAAAUAUAAUAAAACUAUUUUUCUUAACUUUAUUUUACGUAAAAAUUAAAUAAUUUUAAAAUACAUAAAAUUAAUUUUAAUUAUAUUUUGUUUUCUUCUAUACUUUUCUAACCAAAUAUAAUAAAACUAUUUUUCUUAACUUUAUUUUUUUUAUUUCUUUAAUACUUUCAAGAAACCAUACAAAGUCUAAAUGAAAAAAAUGUCAAUGAAAAGACACAUUCAAUUGGAAUUGAAAUUACAAUACUUUUAUAAUGUACUUAUUUUUGCUUUAAUUUUAUAUACUCCCUUUUGGAUGGUAAAAUUUAAUUAAAACAUCAAUUUAAGCAUAGCAUAUUCCUAAGACUAGAUAACAUGAGUAUCCAUUUUUAUAAUUAUCGAAAGAUAGACAAUAAAUAUAGUGAAAAUACAUAUUCUUUGGAAGGUUUUAUAAUUACCAUUUUCAAUGAUCCAAGACAAGAAAAAUGAUUAUUUAUUAGAAGAGAACUUUUUAAAAAAUGACAUGGAAAUAACUAGAAAACAAUCGAUAAAACUUGGAUGAACUAACAAAAAUCAAUUGAAAAUCUCAAAAAUUUAAUUGGACAAACAUGAAUCGCAUGAUACAUCAAAAAUAUUUGAAGGUACAUUUGGAUUCACGGUAUCGGAAAUAGAAAAGGUGAGUUUGUAGAGACUCAUGUAAAAUAAUUACAAAAUAGAAAUCCCUAAAAAUAAUUCUAUUGGAAGAGAACUUUUAAAAAAAAUGAUGUGGAAAUAACUAGAAAACAAUCAAUAAAACUUGAAUGAACCAACAAAAAUCAAUUGAAAAUCUCAAAAAUUUAAUUGGACAAACAUGAAUAGCACGAUACAUAAAAAAUAUUUGAAGGUACAUUUGGAUUCUCAAUAUCUAAAAUGGAAAAGGUGAGUUUUUAGAGACUCGUGAAAAUAAUUACAAAAUAGGAAUCCUUAAAAAUAAUUCAAGUUUCAUAUACUCACGGUUUAAAUAUAAUACCUAAAUGAUCAAAUGUAGUAUCUAUAUCACUAAAAUGUAGUAUUUGAAUAGUUAAAGUAUUACAUUUGACCAAAAAGUCCAUGAAAUGCUAAUUAUUUGUAGAUAAGUGUUUGAAAUUUAUAUUUUAUAAACUUAGAUUCUUAUUUUAUGGUGAAGAAGAAGAAUAAAAAGUUUUUAUGCUAUGAAUAAGGUAAUAUUAACCUUAUAAAAUUUUUUUAGCUUUAAGCUAUGUUUGGUUCAAAAAAAAAAAAAAAAGGUAAAGAAAAUAAUUUUCUUAUGUAUGAUUUUAUGGUAAAAAAUCCUAAUAAAAGUAAAGUAUAAUUAAAAUUAUUAAAAAUUUAUAUGUGAAAUUAUUAAAUUUUUAUAUAAAGAAAAUUAAAUAAGUAAAAAAAUAAAAAUAAUUUAUUGAAUUUAAAUCUAUUUUUUAUUUUUCUUCACUUUUUUAUUUUAUUUUAUUUUUUUCUUUAUUUCCUUUUUCAGAUAUAUUUUCUAAAAUUUUUGAGUAACCAAACAUCACCUUAAAUUUAAAUUUUCAUAUACUUUAGACCAUAAAUUAAGGCAGAAUUCAUCCAAAUAUAUACCUUAUAAACAACAUUUUAUGAAUAAUUUUAAAUCUUGUGAUUGAUUUUCUUCAUGAAUUGUAUUAAUUUAAUAAAAAAAUAAUCUUUUAUUAAAAUAAACUAGAAUAAAAAAUUAUCAUCACUAAGGCAGGA
rnacentral:lncRNA from 1 species